rnacentral:rRNA from 1 species
ACACAUGCAAGUCGAACGGUAGCACAGAGAGCUUGCUCUCGGGUGACGAGUGGCGGACGGGUGAGUAAUGUCUGGGAAACUGCCUGAUGGAGGGGGAUAACUACUGGAAACGGUAGCUAAUACCGCAUAACGUCGCAAGACCAAAGAGGGGGACCUUCGGGCCUCUUGCCAUCAGAUGUGCCCAGAUGGGAUUAGCUAGUAGGUGGGGUAACGGCUCACCUAGGCGACGAUCCCUAGCUGGUCUGAGAGGAUGACCAGCCA